rnacentral:rRNA from 1 species
UACGUAGGUGGCGAGCGUUGUCCGGAUUUACUGGGCGUAAAGAGCGCGCAGGCGGCUGGUCAAGUCCGAUGUGAAAGCUCCCGGCUUAACUGGGAAAUUGCAUCGGAAACUGAUCGGCUGGAAGGUGGGAGAGGGUAGCGGAAUUCCCGGUGUAGUGGUGAAAUGCGUAGAUAUCGGGAGGAACACCAGUGGCGAAGGCGGCGAUCUGGGUAGAUACUGACGCUGAGGUGCGAAAGCGUGGGGAGCAAACAGG